rnacentral:lncRNA from 1 species
UCGCGCUUCAACGCAUGCAGUUUCUUCGCACUACUUUUUCCGGCUCGGCAGUGCGUCGCGAGAUCAAACAGGCGCCCGGUGCUCGCCACGCUCCCCGCCCUCUCAGCCGGAGGGCCGUCUCGGGCAGAGUGGAACUGCCAGGCUGAGGACGCUCGGCAGUCCGAAGAGCUUGACGAAACAGAAGAGCCGCAACGCAACGCAUGCGAAGCGGAACAGGCUGCAGGUGCCAGCAAAGAUGGAGGGACAGAGGCGGAGGAAAAAGAGGCGGAAGAGGCCGCAGAAGUAGACUGAGUCGAGGAAGAGCGAAGUGAGGUCGAGUACAAAUAGGGAGCGGGGAAUGAGCCAGGCUGAACGGAAGAAGAAGAGCGGUAGGAAGCUGGAAAAGAGGCAGGUGGACCAGGUGUUGAAGAGGUCGAAGAAGGCGCAGGCGUGGCGGACGGAGGCAGAGAAGGCAGGAAACAACUGGAUGAAUGGAAAGGCGCACGAGUGACCACAAAAGUCGGAAAGGGAGAAGAGUUAGAUGCGCAGGUAGAGGCGCAGUAAGGAGGACAAGAACCGGUCGAAGAGGAAGCAGUCGGAGGUGCAGAAGUGGAAGACGAAGGAGGGGGUGGUGACGCGUGCAGAGGCGCAGGAGAUACUAAUAACGAAGCCGAAGAGACACAGGAGGAAGCAGAAGAACAAUGUCGAGAUGGAAAGAGAUCCGAAGCACUCCCAUCGUCUGUGGUUCUCUGGACCACUGUAGACUCCAAGCACUCCUUGAACUCUUCUGUGUCACCGCGCCGUGUCUGUUCAUCUCUCAAAGUCUGUGUGACCUCUUCUCCUCUUCGCUCACUGUCCACCUGUCUCUUCCUGCCUCCUUCGUAUCCUCUCCCGAAAAGACCCUGUGGGGUUUGACUCUCUAGAGGCGCCCACGCAGCUGUGCACGCCGUCGCGGAGCGGGAAGACUCUUCUUCAUUUUUCUCAUCCUGAAAAGCAAAUUGCACGAAUCCACAGUCGCCGCUAUCACGCUCAGGAGGCGACUCUCUGGCAUCAGGAUUCGCUUCUUUCGUGACUUCGUGGAGUUGUGGGUACUCCACUGAAGUGUCGGGAGGGUCGUUAAGGAAAACGACCUUGGCGUUUUCGGACGAAGCAGAUUGCAUCGUCGACGCGUUAGCAAUAGUUUGCCUGCUUUGGUCUGGUUCUCCUCGAAUUCCCGAAUUCUCGUCGACUGAAUCGCUUGCCGCGCCGAGACAGUGCAGGGCGCCUCCUCCUCGGUGGACACCGGCACCUGCGUCCUGUGAAAGCGCCCAGCUGUCUCCUUUCGGACCCGCUGGAGGCUCAGCUCGGGAGUCGGGAGUAGGAUUCUCGAGUCCGUGUGGUGGCGGGGGCGACUCCGUGGGUUCCUGAGCCUUCAAAAAAGAAGAGAGACAAGAAGAUUCCUCGACCAGCAGACGCUCCCGCAGGCCUAAAACCAGAGGGAGGGUGGCCGAGGAACCGCCUCGGAGGUAAAAAGCGAAGCAGUGGACCCCACAAUCUGACGUGGAAAGCCGAAGAAAGUCCGCUAAAGACGGCUGAUGUGUCGAUGUUUCUGGCCGGUCACCUCGCUCAUGGAGCAUGCUUCUCGUGGACUCUGAGAAGGCAUCUCGCUGGACCUGAGGCCCCAGAAGACGUGACGAAGGAGGCAUUAGACAGGGGGACUCAGGCUGCCGUUUCUCUGGGUUUUCACGAUCUGUUUCUAGCUCGCGGACAUGCGAUGCCUGGGAGAAGUGUGAGGGCGAAGAGGCGAAAUCACGGAUCCGAGGCGCCUCCUCUCUGCUCGUCGCCGUUCUCGGACAGGAAGACGCAACUUCAGGAACCAAAGAGACCCUUUGUGAUGGAUCUCGUGAUGUCCCAUCGCAUACGGACGCAGCGCUGCAUGCACUGUGGCGGCUCCUGUGACCGUCGGUGGCCGAGACACCGCCGGGAGAUACGUGCGACAAGGCGCAAAACGACGAUGACGCCGCAGAGCAGGAGGCGGGUGAGGGAGGACAAGCAGAAUUCCGCCGAGCCGAGAAGUCUUCUGAAGUGGGGAGGGCAAAGUUGCAGACAGACGAAGGCCAUUCACAAUCUUAUGCUUCCGUGAGGCCGCAGCAGUGUGGAUUAUGACGUCACACUCUCUCUUCGAGGCACAUGGCGGUCGUAAGCCACACCGGGGAGAUUCCAGCACUCCCAGA